rnacentral:rRNA from 1 species
CCUACGGGUGGCAGCAGUGAGGAAUAUUGGUCAAUGGACGAGAGUCUGAACCAGCCAAGUAGCGUGAAGGAUGACUGCCCUAUGGGUUGUAAACUUCUUUUAUAAAGGAAUAAAACGAGGCACGUGUGCCUUUUUGCAUGUACUUUAUGAAUAAGCAUCGGCUAACUCCGUGCCAGCAGCCGCGGUAAUACGGAGGAUCCGAGCGUUAUCCGGAUUUAUUGGGUUUAAAGGGAGCGUAGAUGGGUUGUUAAGUCAGUUGUGAAAGUUUGCGGCCUAACCGUAAAAUUGCAAUUGAUACUGGCAGUCUUGAGUACACUUGAGGUACGCGGAAUUCGUGGUGUAGCGGUGAAAUGCUUAGAUAUCACGAAGAACUCCGAUUGCGAAGGCAGCUUACCAAACUGUGACUGACAUUGAGGCUCGAAAGUGUGGGUAUCAAACAGGAUUAGAUACCCUGGUAGUC